UCGAACGGUGAAGCCCAGCUUGCUGGGUGGAUCAGUGGCGAACGGGUGAGUAACACGUGAGCAACCUGCCCUCCACUUCGGGAUAAGCCUUGGAAACGGGGUCUAAUACCGGAUAUGAGCUCGCAUCGCAUGGUGUGGGUUGGAAAGUUUUUCGGUGGGGGAUGGGCUCGCGGCCUAUCAGCUUGUUGGUGGGGUGAUGGCCUACCAAGGCGUCGACGGGUAGCCGGCCUGAGAGGGCGACCGGCCACACUGGGACUGAGACACGGCCCAGACUCCUACGGGAGGCAGCAGUGGGGAAUAUUGCACAAUGGGCGCAAGCCUGAUGCAGCGACGCCGCGUGAGGGAUGACGGCCUUCGGGUUGUAAACCUCUUUCAGCAGGGAAGAAGCGCAAGUGACGGUACCUGCAGAAGAAGCGCCGGCUAACUACGUGCCAGCAGCCGCGGUAAUACGUAGGGCGCAAGCGUUGUCCGGAAUUAUUGGGCGUAAAGAGCUCGUAGGCGGUCUGUCGCGUCUGGUGUGAAAUCCCGAGGCUCAACCUCGGGCUUGCAUCGGGUACGGGCAGACUAGAGUGCGGUAGGGGAGACUGGAAUUCCUGGUGUAGCGGUGGAAUGCGCAGAUAUCAGGAGGAACACCGAUGGCGAAGGCAGGUCUCUGGGCCGCAACUGACGCUGAGGCGCGAAAGCAUGGGGAGCGAACAGGAUUAGAUACCCUGGUAGUCCAUGCCGUAAACGUUGGGCACUAGGUGUGGGGCUCAUUCCACGAGUUCCGUGCCGCAGCUAACGCAUUAAGUGCCCCGCCUGGGGAGUACGACCGCAAGGCUAAAACUCAAAGGAAUUGACGGGGGCCCGCACAAGCGGCGGAGCAUGCGGAUUAAUUCGAUGCAACGCGAAGAACCUUACCAAGGCUUGACAUGUACGAGAAAGCCCCCGAGACGGGGUUCUCUUUGGACACUCGUACACAGGUGGUGCAUGGUUGUCGUCAGCUCGUGUCGUGAGAUGUUGGGUUAAGUCCCGCAACGAGCGCAACCCUCGUCCUAUGUUGCCAGCGGGUUAUGCCGGGGACUCAUGGGAGACUGCCGGGGUCAACUCGGAGGAAGGUGGGGAUGACGUCAAAUCAUCAUGCCCCUUAUGUCUUGGGCUUCACGCAUGCUACAAUGGCCGGUACAGAGGGCUGCGAUACCGUAAGGUGGAGCGAAUCCCAAAAAGCCGGU
rnacentral:rRNA from 1 species